CAAAAGGCUCUUUUAAGAGCCACUCCGGAAUCGCUGAAAGAGCUAAU
rfam:Ophiophagus hannah scaffold4393.1, whole genome shotgun sequence.